AUCCGGCUGAUGAGUCUCAAAUAGAAUGAAACGCGCGUCCUGGAU
rnacentral:hammerhead_ribozyme from 1 species